rnacentral:lncRNA from 1 species
UGAAUGAAACUGAUUAACAGCCAGAAGACCGAGAGGAGACGAGAGAUUCCUCAAGCUGAGGGCCAGAGCAUCUGAACUCCCGUAAACCAUGCUGGAGUCCACGAAGGCAGUGAUGGCGUUCAGCUGCUCCCGCUGGCCGAGAGGAGAACUGCAGCUCGGGGCAGAGCGGAAAAACGCCAUGCAGGACUGAGUGUGUGAGCGAGGGUCCGACAGCGGGAUCUGAACAGGAGGAGAAGAGUGUCCUGUGAUGGUGCGGUAGCGCUUGGACAGACAGUCAGAUUUACACACCGGUCUCUUCAUCUCUGCUGAGCAGCCGGUGGCCUGCAGGAUGGUCUCCAUGUCUUCUGCGCUCAAGAGCUCUGAAACACACACAGAGCAUAUUAAUAUGGUUUUAGGAUCAUGCGUUUAUUUACGAUGUUUUGGUAAUUGCACAAAUAGCUAUAAAUAAAAUAAUUAAAU